rnacentral:rRNA from 1 species
GAUGAACGCUGGCGGCGUGCCUAACACAUGCAAGUCGAACGGAGAUUACGGACGGAAGUUUUCGGAUGGAAGCCUGUAAUUCUUAGUGGCGGACGGGUGAGUAACGCGUGGGCAACCUGCCCUAUACAGGGGGAUAGCAGCUGGAAACGGCUGGUAAGACCGCAUAAGUCGGUUAAAUCGCAUGAUUUGAUCGGGAAAUGAGCAAUCAGGUAUAGGAUGGGCCCGCGUCCGAUUAGCCAGUUGGCAGGGUAAAAGCCUACCAAAGCGACGAUCGGUAGCCGGACUGAGAGGUCGGACGGCCACAUUGGGACUGAGACACGGCCCAAACUCCUACGGGAGGCAGCAGUGGGGGAUAUUGCACAAUGGAGGAAACUCUGAUGCAGCGACGCCGCGUGAGUGAAGAAGUAUUUCGGUAUGUAAAGCUCUAUCAACAGGGAAGAUGAUGACGGUACCUGACUAAGAAGCCCCGGCUAACUACGUG